AUUGAACGCUGGCGGCAGGCCUAACACAUGCAAGUCGAGCGGAUGAAGGGAGCUUGCUCCUGGAUUCAGCGGCGGACGGGUGAGUAAUGCCUAGGAAUCUGCCUGGUAGUGGGGGAUAACGUCCGGAAACGGGCGCUAAUACCGCAUACGUCCUGAGGGAGAAAGUGGGGGAUCUUCGGACCUCACGCUAUCAGAUGAGCCUAGGUCGGAUUAGCUAGUUGGUGGGGUAAAGGCCUACCAAGGCGACGAUCCGAAACUGGUCUGAGAGGAUGAUCAGUCACAAUGGAGCUGAGAAUCGGUACAGGCUCCUACGGGAGGCAGCAGUGGGGAAUAUUGGACAAUGGGCGAAAGCUUGCACCAGCCAUGCCGCGUGUGUCAAGAGAGUCUUCGUAUUGUAAAGCACUUUAAGUUGGGAGGAAGGGCAGUAAGUUAAUCCCUUGAUGUUUUGACGUUACCAACAGAAUAAGCACCGGCUAACUACGUG
rnacentral:rRNA from 1 species